GACGAACGCUGGCGGCGUGCCUAAUACAUGCAAGUCGAACGCAUUUUCUUUCACCGUAGCUUGCUACACCGAGAGAAAAUGAGUGGCGAACGGGGGAGUAACACUUGGGUAACCUGCCCAUCAGCGGGGGAUAACACUUGGAAACAGGUGCUAAUACCGCAUAAUUCCAUUUACCGCAUGGUAGAUGGAUGAAAGGCGCUUUUGCGUCACUGUUGGAUGGACACGCGGUGCUUUAGCUAGUUGGUGGGGUACCGGGCUACCAAGGCUGCGAUGCAUAGCCGACCUGGGGGGGUGGUCGGCCACACUGGGAAUGAGACACGGCCCAGAAUCCUUAGGGAGGCAGCAGUAAGGGAACUUCGGGAAAGGAGAGAAGGCCGACCGAGCAAAGCCGCGUGGGUGAAGAAAGUUUUCGGGUCGUAAAAAUCUGUUGUUAGAGAAGAACAAGGAUGGGAGUGGAAAGUGCAUCCCUUGACGGUAUCUAACCAGAAAGCCACGGCUAACUACGUG
rnacentral:rRNA from 1 species